GCUGGUGUAGCUCAGUGGUAGAGCACUUCAUUGGUAAUGAAGAGGUCGGAAGUUCAAUUCUUCUCACCAGCACCA
rnacentral:tRNA from 1 species